UACGUAGGGUGCAAGCGUUGUCCGGAAUUAUUGGGCGUAAAGAGCUCGUAGGUGGCGGGUCACGUCGGGUGUGAAAGCCCGGGGCUUAACCCCGGGUCUGCAUUCGAUACGGGUCUGCUGGGGUCCGGCAGGGGAGACUGGAAUUCCUGGUGUAGCGGUGAAAUGCGCAGAUAUCAGGAGGAACACCGGUGGCGAAGGCGGGUCUCUGGGCCGUUACUGACGCUGAGGAGCGAAAGCGUGGGGAGCGAACAGG
rnacentral:rRNA from 1 species